rnacentral:rRNA from 1 species
UACAGAGGUCUCAAGCGUUGUUCGGAUUCAUUGGGCGUAAAGGGUGCGUAGGCGGCGCGGUAAGUCGGGUGUGAAAUCUCGGAGCUUAACUCCGAAACUGCAUUCGAUACUGCCGUGCUCGAGGACUGGAGAGGAGACUGGAAUUUACGGUGUAGCGGUGAAAUGCGUAGAUAUCGUAAGGAAGACCAGUGGCGAAGGCGGGUCUCUGGACAGUUCCUGACGCUGAGGCACGAAGGCCAGGGGGAGCAAACAGG